rfam:Neotoma lepida isolate 417 scaffold_75949, whole genome shotgun sequence.
AUAUUUUUUGAUUCAUAAGAAUGAUGAUUGGAUGCUCACAUCAUUGUGUGACAUUCCUCUCUGACACUUUGUUUUGAUGUCAGCAUAUUACCCAUCUGACA